rnacentral:rRNA from 1 species
AUGAUCACGUUUCUUAUUAAAUCUGUUUUUGCCUCCAUACCUGUGUAUUAUAUGUCUAAUAUUCUUUUUUCUAAGAAGUUCCUAGAAAAGCUCACUGCGAUUAUAAGAAACUUUUGGUGGACAGGUGUAAGAGAUGAACCUUCUACAAAAAGCUUGUGCCUAAGGGCAUGGGCGGACAUUUGCGUUGACAAGAAAAUUGGCGGCUUAGGCAUCAGGAACUUGCAGGCAAUCAACCAAGGACUUAUUCUUUCGGCGGCAUGGAGGUUGGCAAAAAGAACCACAUAG